CAAAUUCCAGAGGGGAGACUCUGACAGCAGGAUUGUUGUUAUUACUUUUUUUUAUGCCUGGAUAUAUUUCUGGAGUAUUUAAAUUGGCUAGGUCCAAAUAGGAGGGCCAGGUGAGAGACGAUGAAGUCGUGAGCCACUAGAAGUACCAUGGAGGAUAUGGAGAAGUAAUUCCAGUGAUAUUAAGGACACUCGAUGGCUGAUUAGAUGAGAGUGAGGAGUUAACAUACCUAGGUUUUUUGGACCUGAACAACUUGGACAAACAGAAGGAAGACUAGAAUUAGGAACCGGGUGAUACCUCCAGCUUCGGAGAUGCCAGCUAUCUGGAAGAAAUCAUCUAGAGCAGUCCAACAAAACUACCUUGGGAAGCAGUGAACUCUCCAUUGAUAGAACUGUUUACAGAAGAGGGAUGACUAUCUACCAAAGAAGAGGGAGAGCAGUGAAUCCUACACUUUGCUGCUUCCAAACCACCUCAGGACCUUCAAUAAAAAGUACGAAUUCCAAAUCACCGCUCUACAACUUCUGGACCAGACACCUUGAAGGGCCACAGAGUCAUCCUUGCUCCCUGACUAAUGCUUGAAACAUCCCUCUUCGAGGUUUAUGCUGUGCCUUCACAGGAUGGUCCCCGAAACAAGAUGGACCUGCAGACAUGAUCAAGAAGAAAGCAGUCCCCUGUGGAGUAUUAGGCCUAAUUAUGGUGAAUGUGGGGAAGCUGAGAGUACAGAUUUACGCUGAUAUCAGGGGCUUGAUUUAGCUGCAAGUUCUGCAUCCACCUCAUCACACACAGUGCUAUGCGCUAAAAUAUCUGGAUGAAAGACUGUUUCCCCAUGGCCCAAGUCUUCCAAUAGAAGGAUCAUAUGAAGCCACAUCUAACGUCUGUUUCCCAGACUGUGGGAGAAGCCAAUGGCUUUGGGGCAAGCUGCCAGCACAGGCUGACAGAUUGCAGCUGUCCUGUCCAUGGUUCUGGGGAGUUGAUAACUCAUGUUCCCAGAGUAAAGGCCAGAGCAGGAAGAGGACAUGUGAAACAUUCAUGAGCAGAUAUUUUGGACAUGGAAAUCCUCCCGGGCUGGGAUUUCCAGUAUUCCAGUGGGGAUACCAGGUCUUAGCCAGUCAGCCCCAAUAGUGUCUUUCUGAUGAUCUUGGUCCUUCUGGUCCCACCACUGUGGCCCUGCUUAAGGCCUGAGGGCUCCACAAUUGGAGAAUUGUUUCCUGGAACUUUAUAAAAAAGGAUUUUUGAAUUUCUUUUUCAGUUUAGAGAUAUUAGGAGCUUCCUAUUACCAGAAUGUAGGUCCAAUCCUAUAUCCAAAGUGAGAUGUAUUAGGAGGUCUCCUAAUGUCUGCCAACUCAACACUUAGAUCAUAUUUUGGUCCAAGUGUCCCAGAAAUAAGAUUGACAUUUUUCUUAGACCCUCAUUACUACUUCCAAGAUAUCAUUCCUCCAUCUUGUCUUAGCCCCCUGCUUUUUGAGUUUGUUGCCCAUCAGCUACAUCAGCCUCAUCACUCAUAUCUACCUCAAGUCAUUUUCAUCCUUCUUUAAGAAUGUAGCCAUUGGAAUUUUUCUUUUGUCCCAUCUGUUCUUCUAUUUUCCCUCUUUUUCUGCCUUCUUUAGAUUGAGUAUGUUUUACGAUUUUAUUUUAUCAUCUUUGUUGGAUAUUAUCUAUGUCUUUGUUGUAUUAUUUUGG
rnacentral:lncRNA from 1 species